rnacentral:rRNA from 1 species
UACGGGGGGGCAAGCGUUGUUCGGAAUUACUGGGCGUAAAGGGCUCGUAGGCGGCCAACUAAGUCAGACGUGAAAUCCCUCGGCUUAACCGGGGAACUGCGUCUGAUACUGGAUGGCUAGAGGUUGGGAGAGGUGAGUGGAACUGCGAGUGUAGAGGUGAAAUUCGUAGAUAUUCGCAAGAACACCAGUGGCGAAGGCGGACUCACUGGCCCGUAACUGACGCUGAGGUGCGAAGCGUGGGAGC